rnacentral:rRNA from 1 species
UACGGGGGGGGCAAGCGUUGUUCGGAAUUACUGGGCGUAAAGGGCUCGUAGGUGGCCAACUAAGUCGGACGUGAAAUCCCUCGGCUUAACCGGGGAACUGCGUCCGAUACUGGUUGGCUUGAGUUUGGGAGAGGGAUGCAGAAUUCCAGGUGUAGCGGUGAAAUGCGUAGAUAUCUGGAGGAACACCGGUGGCGAAGGCGGUAUCCUGGACCAAUACUGACGCUGAGGAGCGAAAGCGUGGGGAGCGAACAGG